UUGGAGGGCAAGUCUGGUGCCAGCAGCCGCGGUAAUUCCAGCUCCAAUAGCGUAUAUUAAAGUUGUUGCAGUUAAAAAGCUCGUAGUUGAAUUUCGGGAUCAAUGUUUCGGUCAUGCCGUUGGUAUGUACUGAUAUUAUUGAUUUCUCACCUUCUAAAGAACCGUAAUGCCAUUAAUUUGGUGUUACGGGGAAUUAGGACUGUUACCUUGAAAAAAUUAGAGUGUUUAAAGCUGGCUCACGCUUGAAUACAUUAGCAUGGAAUAAUGAAAUAGGACAUCCGAUUCUAUUUUGUUGGUUUCUAGGAUCGAUGUAAUGAUUAAUAGGGAUAGUUGGGGGCAUUAGUAUUCAAUUGUCAGAGGUGAAAUUCUUGGAUUUAUUGAAGACUAACUACUGCGAAAGCAUUUGCCAAGGAUGUUUUCAUUAAUCAAGAACGAAAGUUAGGGGAUCGAAGACGAUCAGAUACCGUCGUAGUCUUAACCAUAAACUAUGCCGACUAGGGAUCGGAUGAUGUUAAUUUUUUAAUGACUCAUUCGGCGCCUUACGGGAAACCAAAGUGUUUGGGUUC
rnacentral:rRNA from 1 species